UAAAAUACAAACAACAACAACAAUUUACCAGAAUCUCAUAAAGUUAUAGUGGAGUAAAUAUAUUUGGCAUUAGAGAACGAGAGAGAGAGAGAGAGAGAGAAAGAGCGAACGACCAAGAGAAAAGAGUUUGGUCUUUGUACCGAAAAAAAAUGUCCACCGAAUUGAAUUUUGUUUUGUUUUUUUUUGUGUCAAUCUAAAGACAAAUAAAGCAGAUUAAUUCGCAUACGAUAUAAACCAGGCAACUUUGUGGCAAAUUCUCAUAGUUGGAACAUCAGCAAUAAUCAUAAGAAAAAGAUUGCAUUUUUGCCUAGCAUUGGUCAGAAUUGAGAAGAACAUUUUGAUAAUUGAUGAACUGAG